rnacentral:rRNA from 1 species
GGUUAAGCUACUAAGGGCGCACGGUGGAUGCCUUGGCACUAGAAGCCUAAGAAGGACGGGACGAACACCGAUAUGCUUCGGGGAGCUGUAAGUACGC